rnacentral:rRNA from 1 species
AUGGCUCAGGACGAACGCUGGCGGCGUGCCUAAUACAUGCAAGUCGAACGGUCUUUCUAUGGAAGCUUGCUUCCACUGAGAAGAUAGUGGCGAACGGGUGAGUAACACGUGGGUAAUCUGCCCAUAAGAGGGGGGAUAACAUCCGGAAACGGGUGCUAAUACCGCAUAGUUUUCUUGAUCGCAUGAUCGGGAAAGGAAAGACGGCCUUUGUGCUGUCGCUUAUGGAUGGACCCGCGGCGUAUUAGUUAGUUGGUGAGGUAACGGCUCACCAAGACGAUGAUACGUAGCCGACCUGAGAGGGUGAUCGGCCACAUUGGGACUGAGACACGGCCCAAACUCCUACGGGAGGCAGCAGUAGGGAAUCUUCCGCAAUGGACGAAAGUCUGACGGAGCAACGCCGCGUGAGUGAAAGAAGGUUUUCGGAUCGUAAAACUCUGUUGUCAGAGAAGAACAAGUCGGAGAGUAACUGCUCCGGCCUUGACGGUAUCUGACCAGAAAGCCACGGCUAACUACGUGCCAGCCGCCGC